rnacentral:misc_RNA from 1 species
AUGCAAAAUUCAUAGACGGAAAUCUUCGACGUGGAUAGACAAAUUGAAUCAAUGGCAUAUUUGCUCUAUCGAUUUCACAUUGAACACCAUUCCCCUGAUAUCCAUCUAUUCUCUUACAUAAAGAACUUCUGUUAAAUACCAUUAUUUUUCAUUCGACUCCGCUGCUCGUACAGUCGAUUUACCGUUACGAUUAUAAAUACGUACGACUUGGAAAACCAUCGACCUCAAAAGAGUCCUUUAACACGUGACAUUUACUUCCCUACUUAUAACCUUAUUUUAUUUCUUCAGCGAUAAGAUGAAAUCCAUCUUCAGGUGGUGAGCUACGGAGAUCCCGCGGAGUCACGGAAGCGAAAUGGAUCGAAUUGAUAAAGAGACACGUGCGAAGAGAAAGGAAGCCCCGGGGACGCUGGAGGUGGGAGGUCGAGCAGGGUGAAGUCGCUGGCGGGGUGGAGAUGGCGGCCCGUACGCUCCAACCCCUCAGUAACGCGGUAGCCUCUGUCGAAGAGGUAGCUCGGUGGUUUCGUGCUCCGUUACUCGACAUAACGUUCUCCGCUUUCCUCGUGUUCUCAAUUUUCGGCAGUCUGCGUGUCGUUGGUUUCUAACGAGAUCGUUCGGACUGAAGAGAAAAAUUUGAAAUUUACCGAAGAAGUUGGAACAAUGUAGCGUGAAGAUAUCUCUCGAGCGGUUACGAUCAACAGGUUAAUUCUUCGGCGAUAAACCGAAGCGACUG